UACGGGGGGGGCAAGCGUUGUUCGGAAUUACUGGGCGUAAAGGGCUCGUAGGCGGCCAACUAAGUCAGACGUGAAAUCCCCUCGGCUUAACCGGGGAACUGCGUCUGAUACUGGAUGGCUUAGUGGUGGGAGAGGGAUGCGGAAUUCCAGGUGUAGCGGUGAAAUGCGUAGAUAUCUGGAGGAACACCGGUGGCGAAGGCGGCAUCCUGGACCAUUACUGACGCUGAGUGAGCGAAAGCCAGGGGAGCAAACGGG
rnacentral:rRNA from 1 species